rnacentral:rRNA from 1 species
GUGCCAGCCGCCGCGGUAAUACGGAGGGUGCGAGCGUUAAUCGGAAUUACUGGGCGUAAAGCGCGCGUAGGCGGCUAUUUAAGCUAGAUGUGAAAUCCCCGGGCUUAACCUGGGACGUGCAUUUAGAACUGGGUAGCUAGAGUACAGCAGAGGAUAGUGGAAUUUCAGGUGUAGCGGUGAAAUGCGUAGAGAUCUGAAGGAACAUCAGUGGCGAAGGCGACUGUCUGGGCUGAUACUGACGCUGAGGUGCGAAAGCGUGGGGAGCAAACAGGAUUAGAUACCCCGGUAGUCC